UACGUAGGGACCAAGCGUUGUUCGGAUUUACUGGGCGUAAAGGGCGCGUAGGCGGUGCGGUAAGUCACUUGUGAAAUCUCUGAGCUUAACUCAGAACGGCCAAGUGAUACCGCAGUACUAGAGUGCGGAAGGGGCAAUCGGAAUUCUUGGUGUAGCGGUGAAAUGCGUAGAUAUCAAGAGGAACACCUGAGGUGAAGACGGGUUGCUGGGCCGACACUGACGCUGAUGCGCGAAAGCCAGGGGAGCAAACGGG
rnacentral:rRNA from 1 species